CCGCGAACGGGUGAGUAACACGUGGGUUACCUGCCCCGAUGAUUGGGACAACCCGAGGAAACUCGGGCUAAUACCAAAUGUGCUCCUGGCCGUAAUGGCCUUGAGGAAAGGAAGCUUCGGCCUCCGCAUCGGGAUGGGCCCGCGGCCCAUUAGCUAGUUGGUGGGGUAACGGCCUACCAAGGCAACGAUGGGUAGCUGGUCUGAGAGGACGAUCAGCCACACUGGGACUGAGACACGGCCCAG
rnacentral:rRNA from 1 species